UUAUUCCACAUAAGCGGCGCGAUGUGGUCCCACAGGUACAGGCUGGUUUUAUUUUUUAUUUAUUCCACAUAAGCGGCGCGAUGUGGUCCCGCAGGUACAGGCUGUUUUUUUUUUUUUUUAAAUUAUACCAGAUAAGCGGCAAGAUGUGGUCCCACCGGUACCGACUGGUUUUAUUUUUUUUAAUUUAUACCAGAUAAGCGGCAAGAUGUGGUCCCACAGGUACCGACUGGUUUUAUUUUUUAUUUAUUCCACAUAAGCAGCACGAUGUGGUCCCACAGGUACCGACUGGUUUUAUUUUUUAUUAUUCCACAUAAGCGGCGCGAUGUGGUCCCACAGGUACAGGCUGGUUUUAUUUUUUUUUAUUUAUACCAGAUAAGGAGGCAAGAUGUGGUCCCACAGGUACCGACUGGUUUUAUUUUAUUUUUUAAUUUAUACCAGAUAAGCGGCAAGAUGUGGACCCACAGGUACCGACUGGUUUUAUUUUUUAUUUAUUCCACAUAAGCAGCGCGAUGUGGUCCCACAGGUACAGGCUGGUUUUAUUUUUUUUUUAUUUAUACCAGAUAAGCGGCAAGAUGUGGUCCCACAGGUACCGACUGGUUUUAUUUUUUAUUUAUUCCACAUAAGAGGCGCGAUGUGGUCCCACAGGUACCGGCUGGUUUUAUUUUAUUUUUUAAUUUAUACCAGAUAAGCGGCAAGAUGUGGUCCCACAGGUACCGACUGGUUUUAUUUUUUAUUUAUUCCACAUAAGCAGCGCGAUGUGGUCCCACAGGUACAGGCUGGUUUUAUUUUUUAUUUAUUCCACGUAAGCGGCGCGAUGUGGUCCCACAGGUACAGGCUGGUUUUAUUUUUUUUAAUUUAUACCAGAUAAGCGGCAAGAUGUGGUCACACAGGUACCGACUGGUUUUAUUUUUUAUUUAUUCCACAUAAGCAGCGCGAUGUGGUCCCACAGGUACAGGCUGGUUUUAUUUUUUUUAAUUUAAACCAGAUAAGCGGCAAGAUGUGGUCCCACAGGUACAGGCUGGUUUUAUUUUUUUUAAUUUAAACCAGAUAAGCGGCAAGAUGUGGUCACACAGGUACCGACUGGUUUUAUUUUUUAUUUAUUCCACAUAAGCAGCGCGAUGUGGUCCCACAGGUACAGGCUGGUUUUAUUUUUUUUAAUUUAAACCAGAUAAGCGGCAAGAUGUGGUCCCGCAGGUACCGACUGGUUUUAUUUUUUUUUUUAAUUAUGCCAGAUAAGCGGCAAGAUGUGGUCCCACCGGUACCGACUGGUUUUAUUUUUUUUUAUUUAUACCAGAUAAGCGGCAAGAUGUGGUCCCACAGGUACAGGCUGGUUUUAUUUUUUUUAAUUUAAACCAGAUAAGCGGCAAGAUGUGGUCACACAGGUACCGACUGGUUUUAUUUUUUAUUUAUUCCACAUAAGCAGCGCGAUGUGGUCCCACAGGUACAGGCUGGUUUUAUUUUUUUUAUUUAAACCAGAUAAGCGGUCAAGAUGGGUCCCACAGGUACAGGCUGGUUUAGUUUUUUUAUUUAAACCAGAUAAGCGGCAAGAUGUGGUCACACAGGUACCGACUGGUUUUAAUUUUUUAUUUAUUCCACAUAAGGCAGCGCGAUGUGGUCCCACAGGUACAGGAUGGUUUUAUUUUUUUUAAUUUAAACCAGAUAAGCG